rnacentral:rRNA from 1 species
CCUUAGAGUUUGAUCCUGGCUCAGAACGAACGCUGGCGGCAGGCUUAACACAUGCAAGUCGAACGCCCCUUUCGGGGGGAGUGGCAGACGGGUGAGUAACACGUGGGAACGUACCUCUUUGUUCGGAAUAACUCAUGGAAACGUGAGCUAAUACCGGAUACGCCCUUUUGGGGAAAGAUUUAUCGCAGAGAGAUCGGCCCGCGUCUGAUUAGCUAGUUGGUAAGGUAAUGGCUCACCAAGGCGACGAUCAGUAGCUGGUCUGAGAGGAUGAUCAGCCACACUGGGACUGAGACACGGCCCAGACUCCUACGGGAGGCAGCAGUGGGGAAUAUCGGACAAUGGGGGCAACCCUGAUCCAGCCAUGCCGCGUGAGUGAUGAAGGCCUUAGGGUUGUAAAGCUCUUUUAUCCGGGAAGAUAAUGACUGUACCGGAAGAAUAAGCCCCGGCUAACUUCGUGCCAGCAGCCGCGGUAAUACGAAGGGGGCUAGCGUUGUUCGGAAUCACUGGGCGUAAAGGGCGCGUAGGCGGACGAUUAAGUCAGGGGUGAAAUCCCGGGGCUCAACCUCGGAAUUGCCCUUGAUACUGGUUGUCUUGAGAUUGGAAGAGGUAAGUGGAAUUGCGAGUGUAGAGGUGAAAUUCGUAGAUAUUCGCAAGAACACCGGUGGCGAAGGCGACUUACUGGUCCAUAUCUGACGCUGAGGCGCGAAAGCGUGGGGAGCAAACAGGAUUAGAUACCCUGGUAGUCCACGCCGUAAACGAUGGAUGCCAGCUGUUGGGGAGCAUGCUCUUCAGUGGCGCAGUCAACACAUUAAGCACCCCGCCUGGGGAGUACGGUCGCAAGAUUAAACUCAAAGGAAUUGACGGGGGCCCGCCAAGCGGUGGUGCAUGGGGUUUUAAUCGAAACAACGCCGAAAAACUUACCAGCUCUUGGAAUCCCGUGCUACUUGGAGAGAAUCCAUGGUUCCCUUCGGGGAAGCGAAAACGGGUGC